UACGGAGGGUGCAAGCGUUAUCCGGAUUUAUUGGGUUUAAAGGGUGCGUAGGUGGCCUAUUAAGUCAGGGGUGAAAGACGGUAGCUUAACUAUCGCAGUGCCUUUGAUACUGAUGGGCUUGAAUACAGUUGAAGUGGGCGGAAUGUGACAAGUAGCGGUGAAAUGCAUAGAUAUGUCACAGAACACCGAUUGCGAAGGCAGCUUACUAUGGUGUGAUUGACGCUGAGGCACGAAAGCGUGGGAGUCAAACAGGA
rnacentral:rRNA from 1 species